CUGCCCCUAUCUUUCUCACGGUUCUGGCGCUCAGAGCGCUUCACAUCCUCGGUGAUUUUUGCCUUUUUAAUUAGAGUAGCAAAAUCUCGCUCCCUUUACGGAGCUAUCAGGACUCGUAACUCAUCUCGAAGGCCGUCCUCAAAUCUCACACAGAGUUCAUACUCAGUUGCCACUAUCCCACAUACAUAGUGACUCAGUCGCAG
rnacentral:lncRNA from 1 species